GUGUGUGUGUGUGUGUGUGUGUGUGUGUGUGUGUGUGUGUGUGUGUGAGAGAGAGAGAGUAUACCACCCUGCCUUGUCUCAAUGCCUAGCCAGAAAUAACAAUGCAUUAUUCAUGUCCUGCCUUCUAGGCCACAGACACAAGUCAACGUUGUCUUUCUUAUUCAUUGAAAACGUCUCACGUGACGAAUCCUUAAACCAAUGGGUUCCCACUGUUCGUCUAUUCUCGUGUUGUUGUUCUGCAUUAUUUCCUGAGGAGAUGGAGAGGACAGGAAGGAGUGUUUCUGAGGAGAUGGAGGGGACAGGAAGGAGGGUUCCUGAGGAGAUGGAGGGGACAGGAAGGAGGGUUUCUGAGGAGGUGGAGGGGACAGGAAGGAGGGUUUCCAAAAAAGUGUUUAUCCCCAAGACGUUUGGUAAAAGUAUGAAUUAUAACGAGUGUAUCGGAUGGAAAAUACUGUAGGGACAAACAGUACUUAACUCACAAAAGCAAUGAUUUCCUCAUACUGAUAAAAAAAAAUAACAAAAUGUUUUGAAUGUUUUUUCUUCAUAUCUGAG
ensembl:lncRNA